UACGGAGGGUGCAAGCGUUGCUCGGAAUUAUUGGGCGUAAAGGGUAGGUAGGUGGUCUCAUUUGUCUGAGGUGAAAUCCUUGAGCUUAACUCAAGAAGUGCCUCAGAAACGGUGAGACUGGAGUCCUGGAGAGGGUCGUGGAAUUCCCGGUGUAGCGGUGAAAUGCGUAGAGAUCGGGAGGAACACCAGAGGCGAAGGCGGCGACCUGGACAGGUACUGACACUCAACUACGAAAGCGUGGGGAGCAAACAGG
rnacentral:rRNA from 1 species